rnacentral:sRNA from 1 species
GCCACCGCCCUGUCCUCACAUCCUCGGCGUUGCCUUCCCCUCCCUCUUUUCCACUGACGCCUUGAAAACCCUUAUUUGCGCAUUCACUCACGCUUGAGGGUUAAAAGAUUAAGAGUUUCUCUAAGCACGGCUACCCUUUAAAAGUCACAUUUUCCCCCUUUUUCCAGUCACUCUCUGAAAGAGAACAAAGUAAUUUUCUGAAGGGAAGCUGCAGAAUAUGGAAAACAUAUAUUGGAGCUACAUGGAC